rnacentral:rRNA from 1 species
AGCGAACGCUGGCGGCAGGCUUAACACAUGCAAGUCGAGCGGGCCCUUCGGGGUCAGCGGCAGACGGGUGAGUAACGCGUGGGAACGUGCCCUUCGGUUCGGAAUAACUCAGGGAAACUUGAGCUAAUACCGGAUACGCCCUUAUGGGGAAAGGCUUGCUGCCGAAGGAUCGGCCCGCGUCUGAUUAGCUAGUUGGUGAGGUUAUGGCUCACCAAGGCGACGAUCAGUAGCUGGUCUGAGAGGAUGAUCAGCCACACUGGGACUGAGACACGGCCCAGACUCCUACGGGAGGCAGCAGUGGGGAAUAUUGGAAAAUGGGGGCAACCAUGAUCCAGCCAUGACGCGUGAGUGAUGACGGCCUUAGGGUUGUAAAGCUCUUUUAUCCGGGACGAUAAUGACGGUACCGGAGGAAUAAGCCCCGGCUAACUUCGUG